rnacentral:rRNA from 1 species
AUUGAACGCUGGCGGCAGGCCUAACACAUGCAAGUCGAACGAGUGGCGGACGGGUGAGUAAUGUCUGGGAAACUGCCUGAUGGAGGGGGAUAACUACUGGAAACGGUAGCUAAUACCGCAUACCAUCGGAUGUGCCCAGAUGGGAUUAGCUAGUAGGUGGGGUAAAGGCUCACCUAGGCGACGAUCCCUAGCUGGUCUGAGAGGAUGACCAGCAAAGCUGGAACAGAGACACGGUCGAGAGUCGUACGGGAGGCAGCAGGGGGGAAUAUGGCACAAUGGGCGAAAGCCUGAUGCAGCCAUGCAGCGUGUAUGAAGAAGGCCGUCGGGUUGUAAAGUACUUUCAGCGGGGAGGCGUUACCCGCAGAAGAAGCACCGGCUAACUCCGUGCCAGCAGCCGCGGUAAUAC